rnacentral:rRNA from 1 species
CCUACGGGUGGCAGCAGUGAGGAAUAUUGGUCAAUGGGCUCACGCCUGAACCAGCCAAGCCGCGUGUGGGAAGACUGCCCUCUGGUUUGUAAACCUCUUUUGUCAGGGAGCAACGCCCGCUACGUGUAGCCGGACUGAGAGUCCUUGAAGAAAAAGCAACGGCCAACUCCGUCCCAGCAGCCGCGGUAAUACGGAGGAGGCGAGCGUGAGCCGGAUUUAUUGGGUGUAAAGGGUGCGUAGGCGGAGUGGGAAUUAAGUGGUAAAAGCGCGGGGCUAAACCUCGCUCCGCCGGGGAAAGUGGGGUGCGAGAGGGGUAGAGAGGUGUGCAGAAUGCGAGGUGGAGCGGUGAAAUGCAUAGAGAUGGCGCAGAACUCCGAUGGCGAAGGCAGCAUACCGGCG